CAAGUCUAUUCUUGAAGUUGAAAUUUAAAGAGAACCCCUAACCCUAAAGGAGCGAUUAGGUUAAGGAAUAGUGAUAGGAACGAUUACAAGUUACUCCGUUUACAAGAUGCUCAUUCUUGUAUCAAUCAGAGAGUUAAUAUUAUAGCUAUUGUUCAUCAUUUUCUGAGAUUCACUGGCAAUGAUGAUAAAAAGGCCGGUCUUACGGCUGCCAUUUACUUACUUCAAUGGUAGUAGAUUGAUUAAUGCUUUCGUGAAAGUGUUUUCUGAGCCAGUUUCAUCCAUGUCUUUAUCAUUUUUAUUGAAUACUUUGUUUUAGGUCAAAAAUAUAUGUUUUUUUAAUUUAUGGGUUCAUGUAUCUCCAAGUUAUAACUAUUCGAUGCUGCUUGAAUUAUUUCUGCAGAUUGAUUGAUGAAACACAUCACCAAACCGGUAUGGCUGUUAACAUCUUUACUGAAAAUUCCUCAUGUUGCUGCAAGAUAUAUAAUUCAGCUUUCUAAUGUUACCGGUAGAAUUUCUGGACUUAUCUGCCUUUUUAUGUCCAUAUAUGCAUAAACAUGCUUCGAAAAUGGUUGGUCAGUUUUCAGAUUCCUGCAGGUAUUGUAGGAUUUUAGCUUUUGAUGUAAUUUACAUCCAUUUUCUUUCAUUUCUGUUUUCUGAGUUCUGUAUUUUAAUUACUUCUCUUAUCAAAGCAACCAGAAAUGAAUACACUACAGAAGGUGAGUUUGAGACUCACUUUUUUUUUUCUCUUGACAAGAAAUCAAUCUAUGCCUAACCAACUCUUCUAACUGUACCCCUUUUAUGUAUAGGAAAUGGUUGCAAUUUAGUUAAGUUCCCCCCUCUUACCUAGUACCAACCUACUUUCACCCCUCACAUAGACUCUCAUUAUUACCGAGUUUGGUCAGAAUUAGGAAUCAUGGGGAUUUUAUAACUCUUAUCAUGCAAUGUGAUUUAAGCCUUGGUUGCUUAUGGCCGCAGUUAGUUGGUGUAUGCUAAAAACUAGCUUGGAUUUUAUUGUCUCCUUAAGAUUUUGAAUUUGUUUAGCUCAAUCAAGAAUUACCUUACUUCUAAAGAAAUCGGUAUUUGUUUGAGUAGUUUUGGCUUAGGUGGUUUGUAUUUUUUUUUAUGUAUAGUCAAGGUUUUUAAAUGUUGUGUUGUGUAGAUUCAAAUGAUUUUCCUAUGCUAAGAGAAAUCAACAAAGGUCAUUUUAAUUUGUCCGGCAAGGUAAUUCAGUUAGAAUUGGUUUUGAUAUUUGUAUUAUGAGUUUUAAGACCCUUGGAUAAAUAUUUAAGUAAAAUAUGUAAAUUGUAAUUUUUUACUUUUAGUUGUUACCUUUCCAAGGUUCUGAUUCUUCAUGCUUUUUAUUGCACCUUAAGAUACUUCAUUGCUGGGAGGCUUUGAAAGAUAAUUGGUUUGUCUAUGUUUGAGACGGUACAACAGAUACCCUGCAAAAUGCCAUAACAAUUGUCCGAAAGAUUAUUCUUUUCGUGAUAUGAUUUUUCUCCUUAAUUUAUUUAUUAAUUUUGUGAUAUGACUUUCCUAUUUAAUUUAUUUUUCCUGGUCACAUGUUCUUUUAGGGAAGAUCCAUGCUUGGUCCUAAGGUCCUAAAACCUUCCUUAGAACUAUAGUCAGAAAAACGACUUUCUCGAUCAAAAGUCAUUCUGAUGACAUCAAUAUUCUAUUUUCUAUUAAUGCGAUGGUUGGUUGUAUAAGUAUUCAUAGGAGGUUUGAAGUCUACGUGGGAAUCUCACAUUGGACUGAACAAUGCAAAUUUGAAGAAACCAAAAUUUGAUGAUUCAAAUUCCAUAAUAAAACGAGCAAGACUCAUUUCUAAAAAAACAAAGUUUUCUUAAAUGAAUCAUUCAUUUAUUUAUUUUUUGCAUUAAUAAGUAACCAAUGAUCAAAAAACAGCAACAUAUUUAAAGUUAAAAAAAUAAAAUAAAAGAGUGUUAACCCCGAGCAUUAUUCUUGUUAGGUGCACAUAUGUUCUUUGAAGUUGAAAUUCAAAGAGGCUUGCUCCUGGGAAACCCUAACCCUAAGGGGCGGGAGGAGAGAGAGCGAUAGACACACAAUGUGAGUUAGGUUAAGGAUUAGUAAUAGGAAUGGUUACAAAUUACUCCGAUUACGAGAUGCUCAUUCUUGUAUCAAUCAGAGAGUUAACAUUAUUGCUAUUUGUUCUUGAGUUUGGUCUCCCGAAAGCAACUAGAGGCACUGAUAAUUUUCAAUUUCUGAGUUUCACUGGCAAUGAUGAUAAAAAGGCCGGUCUUACGGCUGCCAUUUUUACUUCAAUGGUAGUAGAUUGAUUCAUCCUUUCGUGAAAGUGUUUUCUGAGCCAGUUUCAUUCCAUGUCUUUAUCAUUUUUAUUGAAUACUUUGAUUUAGGUCAAAAGAUAUGUUUUUUAAUUUAUGGGUUGAUGUAUCUCCAAGUUAUAACUAUUAGAAGUUAAACUCACACAAUAGUCAAUUUGAGUUUGAACUCUGAUUCCUGCAUUCGUCUUUGCCGAUAUCAAUUGAGUUUUAUUUUUGGGUUCCUUUACUUAUUUCUCAUUAAAAUUUAAUUUAUAUGACCGAUAAUUAACAUUAUGAAACUGUUAAGAAAGAUUAUGAGUUUAACGAAUUUGAUAGAAACAUGUUCUAUAAUAGAAUAUUUUGAUCCAUAUAUCCAAUCUCAUUCAGCAUACGUUUGGUUAUGCGGUAGCAUAUAAUAUACAUCCCUAAAAAGACAUGUAUUAGAUGAUAUUCUUGUGUUAAAAACUGAAAGCAGAUUGAAAUCAACUCUAUGCUUUAUGCUCACUUGGACAGUGCUGCAUCAGUUUACUGUACAUAAGCUUUUCUAAAGUAAAUUUAUCCCUUUCUCUCUUGACAAGAAAUCAAUCUGUGCCUAGCCAACUCUUCUAACUGUACCACAUUUAUGUAUAGGAGAUGGUUGCAAUUUAGUUUGUUUCCCCCUCCUACCUAGUACAAACCUACUGCGACCCCACAGAUAGACUCUCAUUAUUACCGAGUUUGGUCAGAAUUAGAAAUCAGGGGGAUUUUAUAACUCUUAUCAUGCAAUGUAAUUUAAGCCUUGGUUGCUUCUGGCCGGAGUUAGUUGGUGUUUGCUAAAAACUAGCUUGGAGUUUUGGCUUAGGUGGUUUGUAUUUUUUUGGUUUAUUGGCGGCUUCAUCAUACUUUUUGAUGUAUAUUCAAGGUUUUUUAAAGGUUGUGUUGUGUAGAUUCAAGUGAUUUUCCUAGGCUAAGAGAAAUCACAGAAGGUCACUUUGAUUUGGGGACAGUACCGAUACCCCGCCAAAUGCCAUGACUUCAGUGUGAGUUGAUGUAAAAUUACUUUUACAUUGUCAGUUCAACUCCCCUCCCCCCGAUGUUUUCGUCUUUAGAUAAAAUUGUAUACUUUUCAAACGCAAGUUACUUGACAUAGGGAUUUAAUUGAGAUUAAAGUUGUUCUCUUACCUUAGGAAUUAGAUUUGAAAAGAAAUAGAAAAUUUGGUACCAGUUUAGAAGAUUAAUUUGUGCUGAUAUGGCCAUGGAUUUUGUAUAAGAGUUUCUUUUUCUACAGGGUUUUGCCAAGAGUUGUAUAUAUACGAUUGCAAGGGCAUCAUCUAUAACCAUUCAUUUUGAGAUUGGAAUGUUUCUUUUUCACUUAUUCAGCUUUGACCCUGUUUGGUUUAGUGUUUGUGAAGAACAUAUAAAUUUAUUUUAGCAUCCUCCAAAGGAAUUUGAUAUGCUUGCUGAUGAAAUGCAGGCUGGAAGAUGAAUUUUUGUUUUUGAAAGGAAAUUAUAGUAUAUAAAAGGCGGGAACCAAAAAAGUAAGAGUUAGCUACAAAGCAGAAGAAGUGCCUGAUAAAAAGCAAGAAAAAAAACAACAAAGGAAAAAAACAUAGAGAAAAAUAAAAUCAUCUUGAGUAUUGCUUUUGAACUACCCAUAGAGAAAAAUCAUCUCAAUGUUCUUAAAAGUGGUAAAUGGGCCCAAUUUAUCAACAUACAUCUUAAAGUGUAUGCAGGACUGUGGUAUGGUGGUUUUACCUCACAUUCAAAGCUUCGACAUACACCAAAUGAAGACAGUCUCAUUACAGAACGCCAAAGGUUGUAUGAUGACCGUAUAUUGUUGAAAUCAGGAAGCAUGCCUAUUGGCAGCAUGACAGGAGACUCUUUUUGAUGGUUAUCCUGGCACUGCAAAUGUGAAAAGGAAAUUGAAGAGAUUAGUUGGAAUAACUGAAUGCGAUGAAAGUAGGUCAAGAAAUCCACCAUGGGUCAGUGUUUGUAUUAAAUCAUACUAUGUCUCCAAAACUGAUGUAUGGGGAAGUAGAAACUUUAGAAUAUUUGACACCAAAAUAUGUAUAUGUCUGUCUGUCUCUCCCUUUUGCAAACUAGAACAUGCAUAUAUAUGUCCAGGAGAGAUAUGAUAUGUAUAUAGUAUGCACAAACUCUGUAUAUUUUAAAUGUAAAUGAAUCAUUUGUAAAUUACAAUGUUCAGUAUUUCUUGGUUCA